UACGUAGGGUGCGAGCGUCGUCCGGAAUUAUUGGGCGUAAAGGGCUCGUAGGCGGUCUGUCGCGUCGGUAGUGAAAACUCAGGGCUUAACCCUGAGCCUGCUUCCGAUACGGGCAGACUAGAGGUAUGCAGGGGAGAAUGGAAUUCCUGGUGUAGCGGUGAAAUGCGCAGAUAUCAGGAGGAACGCCAGUGGCGAAGGCGGUUCUCUGGGCAUUACCUGACGCUGAGGAGCGAAAGUGUGGGGAGCGAACAGG
rnacentral:rRNA from 1 species